UCCCAGCAGUCCAAGUGGCAGCCACAUUUAUUAGGUCUAAAACAUUCGUAGCUGGCGUGACAAGUUUCUUGUGAAAUUCUACUGCUUAACGGUAGAGCGUGCAAGAAAUACUAUCAUGCUAGAGACUGGAAGACGUAAGGAGUACGUUUGAGGUAGCGGUAAAAUGUUUUAAUCUCAGACGGACUAACAAUGGCGAAGGCACCUUACGAGGACAGUUCUGACAGUGAGGAAUGAAGGCCCGGGGC
rnacentral:rRNA from 1 species